rnacentral:rRNA from 1 species
UACGUGGGGUGCGAGCGUUGUCCGGAAUUAUUGGGCGUAAAGGGCUCGUAGGCGGUUUGUCGCGUCGGGAGUGAAAAUCCAGGGCUUAACUCUGGACUGGCUUCCGAUACGGGCAGACUAGAGGUAUGCAGGGGAGAACGGAAUUCCUGGUGUAGCGGUGAAAUGCGCAGAUAUCAGGAGGAACACCGGUGGCGAAGGCGGUUCUCUGGGCAUUACCUGACGCUGAGGAGCGAAAGCGUGGGGAGCGAACAGG